rnacentral:lncRNA from 1 species
UCUGUUCAUUUUAUCCACCCAUUUCAGCUUCCCUAUGUUCCCCAAGUUCCUGCUGAGCCCCAGAAGGAAGGAGACCCAGCAGUGUGUGCCUCCUGGCAGGGAUGAGGCUAUUUGACCAUUUGGGCGUGUUCAAAUCUGGAGGAAAGGUAAAAUCUUCACACUGCAAAGAAGUUUUUAGGAAACACAUCUUGCUGACAAGAUGAUAAAAGGUAGCGUGGUGUGUGUGCCUUGAUAAAACAGGAGCUUUACUUCCAAAGGUCUUACGCAGGCUGACGGCAGUCCUGGAGAAGAGAUCCAACCUCGCUCCAGCGGGAUACACACGCAGAUUUUAAUCAGGAGCGACAACUAUGGAGCAGAGCUGUGUGUGCAGCACCUCUGAGACCUGUGCUCCUGCUGGUGCUCACACUUGCAUGGAGGAGGAGAACCCUGAUCAGGCAGUGUGGAAACCUUCUGAAUGCACAAGAAGGAAAGGAAUCACUGAGAGCAGUGAGAAUAAAGUAUGAGGCUUCAGUAAGUAAGUCAACAGAGAGAAGAGGAGGAAAGGCACACGUCUGGAAGGCUGUUGGAAGUCUGCAAACUGAUGAUCAGGAAGAAGACGGGAAUGAAUAA